rnacentral:rRNA from 1 species
AAUGGGGGCAACCCUGAUCCAGCGAUGCCGCGUGAGUGAUGAAGGCCUUCGGGUUGUAAAGCUCUUUUGCACGCGACGAUGAUGACGGUAGCGUGAGAAUAAGCCCCGGCUAACUCUGUGCCAGCAGCCGCGGUAAUACAGAGGGGGCUAGCGUUGUUCGGAAUGACUGGGCGUAAAGGGCGCGUAGGUGGCUCUACAAGUCAGAUGUGAAAGGCCUAGGCUUAACCUGGGGAUGGCAUUUGAGACUGUAAAGCUAGAGUCCGGGAGAGGAUAGCGGAAUUCCUAGUGUAGAGGUGAAAUUCGUAGAUAUUAGGAAGAACACCGGUGGCGAAGGCGGCUAUCUGGAACGGAACUGACACUGAGGCGCGAAAGCGUGGGGAGCAAA